rnacentral:rRNA from 1 species
AUUGAACGCUAGCGGGAUGCCUUACACAUGCAAGUCGAACGGAGUGGCGAACGGGUGAGUAAUGUAUCGGAACGUGCCCAGUAGAGGGGGAUAACUACGCGAAAGCGUCGAUAAUACCGCAUACUAUUGGAGCGGCCGAUAUCGGAUGAGCUAGUUGGGGGGGUAACGGCCCACCAAGGCGACGAUCCGUAGCUGGUUUGAGAGGACGCCCAGCCACACGGGUACUGAGACACGGACCAGACUCGUAAGGGAGGCAGCAGUUGGGAAUGUUGGACAAUGGGGGAAACCCUGAUCCAGCCAUCCCGCGUGUGCGAUGAAGGCCUUCGGGUUGUAAAGCACUUUUGGCAGGAAAGCGGUACCUGCAGAAUAAGCACCGGCUAACUACGUGCCAGCCGCCGCGGUAAUAC